rnacentral:rRNA from 1 species
CCAGACUCCUACGGGAGGCAGCAGUGGGGGAUAUUGGACAAUGGGGGAAACCCUGAUCCAGCGACGCCGCGUGAGUGAAGAAGUAUUUCGGUAUGUAAAGCUCUGUCAGCAGGGAAGAAAGAAAUGACGGUACCUGACUAAGAAGCCCCGACUAACUACGUGCCAGCAGCCGCGGUAAUACGUAGGGGGCAAGCGUUAUCCGGAUUUACUGGGUGUAAAGGGAGCGUAGACGGCAGCGCAAGUCUGGAGUGAAAUCCCAUGGCUUAACCAUGGAACUGCUUUGGAAACUGUGCAGCUGGAGUGCAGGAGAGGUAAGCGGAAUUCCUAGUGUAGCGGUGAAAUGCGUAGAUAUUAGGAGGAACACCAGUGGCGAAGGCGGCUUGCUGGACGACGACUGACGUUGAGGCUCGAAAGCGUGGGGAGCAAACAGGAUUAGAUACCCGGUAG